rnacentral:rRNA from 1 species
UACGUAGGGUGCGAGCGUUAAUUGGAAUUAUUGGGCGUAAAGGGCGUGUAGGUGGCUGUCCAAGUCUGGUGUGAAAGCCCACGGCUCAACCGUGGAACUGCAUUGGAAACUGGAUAGCUCGAGUAUUGGAGGGGGUCGCGGAAUUCCCGGUGUAGAGGUGAAAUUCGUAGAUAUCGGGAGGAACACCAGUGGCGAAGGCGGCGACCUGGCCAUUUACUGACACUGAGACGCGAAAGCGUGGGGAGCAAACAGG